CGGGGUAUGGCGCAGCCUGGUAGCGCGCUCCGUUCGGGACGGAGAGGUCCGCAGUUCGAAUCUGCGUACCCCGA
rnacentral:tRNA from 1 species